CAACCUCUAGCCUGGGAACGUCCAUGUGCCAUGUGUGCAGCCCUAAAAAGACAAAAAAAAUUACAUUCCCAUUAGGUAUACUAAUAAAGUCAUCAAUACAGAUGAUGAAUACAAUGUGUUCUACUCUUCUAAGGAGAUCUGAAUAAGGCCUAAGGGUAAUCAAGGUGUUCCCUGGUGGCACAGUGGGUUAAGGAUCCAGUGUUGUCACUGCUGUGGCUCAGGUCAGUGCUAUAACAAAAGAUUCAAUCCCUGGCCUGGGAACUUUUCCACAUGCUGCGAGUCCAGGGAGGAAAAAAAAAAAAGCCUUAGGAUAAUUGUUGGCGAAAAUGAAGCUGGAAUGGAAGAAGCUUAAAAAGGGAACUCUUGUUUAGUUUCUUGAACCAGCUCCUAAAAUUUUGAAAAAGAAAAUACCUUGGUUUCCAGACCAAGGUUAAGAUACAGGGCUAGUCAUUGUAUAAUUAUUGAAUAGGAGAUGAGACAAGUAAAUAGUUCUGCAUAAAGUCAAGGUCCAUUCCUGGAAAAAAGACCAACUGUUGACAAGUGGAUUAUGCCAGAGCCAUUUAGACGUGUGAGAUUUUGCAGUUUGGGAAGGUUGAAGAUGAGAUAAUUGACUCUUGCCAUCAUUUCCAAAGCUCAGUGAGAUUGGUUUCUGUCAUCCUAUUUGAGCCCACCUACCUUGCCAAGCAAAUUAACUGCUUUCAUUCACAUGAAGCCAUCCCUGCUAAUGAGAGUUCUGUCUUCAGUAGCUGCGUUAAAACCUGUAUCUGACCUCACACUUGCCAGAACUCCACAACUCAGUUCUAGCACUGGUGUUUGAAAUUUGCCAUCCCUGCUGUCCUUGAAAUGGAAAGCUCCUUUAAUACAGCAUCUUUCCAUAACACCAUGAUGAAGCUCUCUGAAAUUGUCUGAGCAACAGGCACAACAAUCCAUGCAGCUGAUCUCAAAAAGUAAUUAAAUACUCAUCGUAAGGCUUCUCAAACAGGGACCUGAAGCGGCUUAGAGUCUGCGAGACUAUUGAAAAGGUGUGAGCAGAUGCGGGGAAUUCCUGCUGAAAAGGCGACGGACGGGGAAAGUACCUGGAGAGAAUGGACAACUUCACUGGGUUACCAGAAGAAAUAUCGAAGAAUGGAAAGAAGAGAGAUUGGAUGAGUCUAGGAGUUCCCGUCGUGGCGCAGUCGUUAACGAAUCCGACUAGGAACCAUGAGUCUGGAGACGAAUUACAACAGAAAUCAAUGGACGACAACAGCAAUUAGCCACUAUAGCACUUGCCAAUAUGAUUAAUAAAUAAGAAUCAUAAAAAUUUUAAAAAGGGGGAGACGUUGGAGGUAUGAAUAUGCAACAUGACAAGGAAUGGAAAGAAAAGACUGGCACCAUAGAGUGGCUGUAGAAGGUCAGUCUAUACAAAGUCUUGUGACUCUCUCAUGACCCUUGAGGCAAAACGAAUGAGAACAACAUCAAAAAUGGCAUCUUGAAAACAAGAUUGCUGAAGCACUGAUGUUGCUGAUGGAAAACCAUCAGCUCUGACAUUCUCAGGACUGGAGCCUUGGGGGAUUUUUGGGAGAGGCCAUAGAUGGCUUGAGGCAAACAACAAAUGACGGCCUGGGAGGGCUAAAGCAUUUAUGAUUACUUCAUGUGCUUAGGAAUGGCUGUCCUAGCAUAUCUUGCUUCCAAUCUGUUUGAAGAGAAAUACCGAUGUAUCCCCUGCAUGUACAAGGAAGUAGAAAAUAGUAAGUAAAAACCAUGAGUCGGCUCAGAGGGUUGCUAUUGCCUCUGGAAGGCGG